rnacentral:rRNA from 1 species
UACGUAGGGUGCGAGCGUUAAUCGGAAUUACUGGGCGUAAAGCGUGCGCAGGCGGUUUGCUAAGACCGAUGUGAAAUCCCCGGGCUUAACCUUGGAACCGCAUUGGUGACUGGCAGGCUAGAGUAUUGCAGAGGGGGGUAGAAUUCCACGUGUAGCAGUGAAAUGCGUAGAGAUGUGGAGGAAUACCGAUGGCGAAGGCAGCCCCCUGGGCCAAUACUGACGCUCAUGCACGAAAGCGUGGGGAGCAAACAGG